GCUUUGAUGGUGUAGUUGGCUAUCACGUGGGUCUCAUAUACCUUGAGUGCGCCUGGCGCAUGCAAUCCCGAGGUCGAGAGUUCGAUCCUCUCUCAGAGCA